rnacentral:rRNA from 1 species
UACGUAGGGUGCAAGCGUUAAUCGGAAUUACUGGGCGUAAAGCGUGCGCAGGCGGUUAUGCAAGACAGAUGUGAAAUCCCCCGGGCUCAACCUGGGAACUGCAUUUGUGACUGCAUAGCUAGAGUACGGUAGAGGGGGAUGGAAUUCCGCGUGUAGCAGUGAAAUGCGUAGAUAUGCGGAGGAACACCGAUGGCGAAGGCAAUCCCCCUGGACCUGUACUGACGCUCCUGCACGAAAGCGUGGGGAGCAAACGAGG